AUGAGCGCCAAAGCCAUCUCCCUCUAUUGCUGUGUACCUGCUGCAUUUCUGCUCUUCUUUGCCCAUCUCAAUAACCCAACCACUUCAUUCGUUCGAGCUCUGCUUGAUCUUGCAACACCACUCCUUCCAUUUAAUUUCCUUACAGUUCAUUAUUUUUCUAACUAUCAUCGCCAUCGUGGUUCGUAUGACCCGCUCUGUGAUGAUUUCCCGCCAGACUUCCCACCGCCUAACACCGCAGCAACAUCGAUCUUCUGUGUCGAUCCCAACGGCUGCUGCGACUUCACCACAGUGCAGUCCGCGGUUGAUGCUGUGCCAAGAUCCAGCCAAAAGAGGAACGUUGUGUGGAUCAACAAGGGCAUCUAUUUUGAGAAAGUAACAGUCCCUGCUACAAAGCCCAACAUCACAUUUCAGGGGCAGGGAUUUGAUCUGACGGCAAUCAUGUGGAACGACACCGCCAACUCAUCACAUGGAACCUUCUACAGCGCUUCGGUUUCUGUUUUCGCAGCCGGCUUUGUCGCGAAGAACAUCAGCUUCAUUAAUGUAGCACCAAUUCCAAGACCCGGAGAUGUCGGUGCUCAGGCGGUCGCUCUGAGGAUCGGCGGUGACCAGGCGGCAUUCUGGGGCUGUGGCUUCUUUGGGGCACAAGAUACACUGCACGAUGAUCGGGGCCGGCAUUACUUCAAGGAAUGUUUCAUUCAGGGCUCCAUCGACUUCAUCUUCGGAGAUGCUAGGUCACUCUAUGAGAACUGCAGAUUGAUUUCCAUAGCAGAUCCUGUGCCUGCAGGGGUGAGAUCCAUCACAGGUUCAGUUACUGCACAUGCCCGGGAAUCCAACCAAGAAAACACCGGGUAUUCAUUUGUCAACUGCAGCAUCGGUGGCACCGGGUGGAUAUGGCUCGGGCGAGCGUGGAGACCUUACUCCCGUGUUGUAUUCGCAUACACUUCGAUGUCAAAUAUCAUCGCCUCCGAUGGAUGGAAUGAUUGGAAUGAUCCUUCAAGAGAUCAGUAUGCCUCUCCUGUACUGCUAGUGUUUUCUGGAAUCAAUUCAGAAUGCACGCUAACAUCGGUUUGUUCUAUGAUUUCCAUUGCCAGGAGUGUGUUUUAUGGAGAGUACAAGUGUACAGGCGAUGGCGCACACCUGGCGGGCAGAGUGCCGUACGCUCUUGAGCUCAGCGACGUGCAAGCAUUGCCUUACUUGAACACAUCUUUUAUCGACGGUGAUCUAUGGCUGAAACCAUACUGCGACUCACUAAUAUCUGCAUGA
rnacentral:rRNA from 1 species